rnacentral:rRNA from 1 species
GGCCAGACUCCUACGGGAGGCAGCAGUGGGGAAUAUUGCACAAUGGGGGAAACCCUGAUGCAGCAACGCCGCGUGAGUGAAGAAGUAUUUCGGUAUGUAAAGCUCUCUCAGCAGGGAAGAAGAUGACGGUACCUGAAUAAGAAGCCCCGGCUAACUACGUGCCAGCAGCCGCGGUAAUACGUAGGGGGCAAGCGUUAUCCGGAUUUACUGGGUGUAAAGGGAGCGCAGACGGCAGUGCAAGUCUGAAGUGAAAGGCAAGGGCUCAACCCUUGGACUGCUUUGGAAACUGUGCUGCUGGAGUGUCGGAGAGGCAAGUGGAAUUCCUAGUGUAGCGGUGAAAUGCGUAGAUAUUAGGAGGAACACCAGUGGCGAAGGCGGCCUGCUGGACGAUGACUGACGCUGAGGCUCGAAAGCGUGGGGAGCAGACAGGAUUAGAUACCCCUGUA